UGGAACUCCACUUAGCAGCUAAAGUUCAUCCUCUGAAGUCUGGGAAGUCCAAGCUCAAGGUGAAGCCUCCUCAGGUGGCAAAGAGCAGAAGCACAAAAGAGACCAAACUCCCUCCCUCAAGCUCUUUUACAAGAACACUGAGACAUUCACAAGUGCUGAGUCCUCAAACCUACUAACCUCCUGAAGGCUACACCUCAAAUACGGAUUGAAUUUUCGCAUGAGUUUUGAGGGACACCCAUUCAAAGCAUAGCACCCUUCGGCUUCAGAGAAGCUCCAGCCCUGUUGUCACCAAGCAGGUUCCCCCUAGGCAGAGCGCCAAGAAGCAGCCCAGGCGAUCCCAAGGCGCACAAGUGCUCUCACCAGGCUGCGCGCUGGCGGGUCGGUGCACAGGGACGGGGUCGCCGCCCACGCGCGCUUGGUUCAGGGAGCCCAGGCUGUCCCUACCCGCGGCUACAAAAGCUCGCCGAGUCUUCCUGUCCACCCAAUCGCCCCACAUGUCAGCGGUUGGUCGCCUCGCGGUGCAGUGCUGGGCACGCGAGCCCCUCCCGCAGUCAUUCUCAGCACAAGCACCAGCCUGGAGCCCCGCAGCGACAGAGCUGAGAGCCCCCAAGCCGCAGAGGUCGUGCGGAGCAGGCCUAAGGCAAUAGCUAAUUGAGACUAUGCAUCACUAUUAAGGCAUCUUCACUAAAGGGCGCUGUGGAAACGCUGCCUGAGAUGCAGACACCUGUCAGAAGGGGGCUAAAUUUCAAACAAGGAACGUGGUGUUGCAUCACAAUAAAAACAGAAGAAACACACGUGUUCUUGUGUGUAAACCCAGUCCAUGGAAGAGACCGUCUGCUUGUCCCUCCUGAUCUCUGGGCCCAGACAACCAGUAGUCACCAUUCCAAGUGAGGGGUGGCUGCAACUCUACAGCCCCGUUCGUCUCUCCUCACUGUCAAAGCUGCUGAGACCCCAGACUCGACACUUGAAAGAAACCCAUGUCUGUGAAGCACUUGUGGACCAUUCAAGAUUGUGGAAGAAUCACUCAAGAGAAGGAGAUAGCAAUAUUUGCAGAUAUGCAAACUGGCCCCUUGCAUGCACAUCCUGGAGCACGUCCUGGAGCCUUUAGAGGUGAGUGAGAAGGAGACGGCUGCUGCUGUUCCAGUCUCUCCUUAGGCAGACUUGAGUUUCUACCCACUCUUCCCAAGCAGCCGCCCCUCCGCACCCGAGCGAGCCAAAGACCUGGCGGGCUGAGUACUCACUGCGCGCUGGACACAUGCUGAGCCGGCACUGCAGGGACACAGGGCGAGCCGCUGGAUGCAGACCUGUGGCCGCGGCAGUUGGGCUUAUCUUGCCCAUGAAGUUGCCUCUGAAGAACCAAGUCCAACUGUGUAUGCUGAGAGAUGUCUGGCUACUUCCUGAUUGACAGUUCUGGCAAGGUGGCAUUGGGCCCUGGCUUUUCCUCUGGAGGCAUCAUCACUUAUAGGAAAAUGUCCCCUGAAGUCCAAGGAUCAAAGCUGCUGGAACACUGAGAAGCUGAACAAAGGAGAACUGUUUCUCAUCAAACCCAGACUUCCAGACUUCCAAUAGGGUAGAAUGAGCAAGUCAGCAAAUCAUCUUCCUUGGAAACAGUGAUAAAACUAGAUGACAUUGUCAACAACAGCCAUUUCAGAAAUCUAGAAAAUGACCAAAGGCAAACAACAAACUGAGAAGCAUUUUUUUUUCCAUGAAAAAUCGCUCUAUUUCUGCAAAAAUAGUGGGAGUCUAUGGCUUCUCAUCCAGGGCUGUUUCUCUCCCCACCCCAGCUCAGUCAGUACAAAGGUUCUGGCAGCAUGAGGCAGACUGAACAGACCUGAAGUUUGAUUGCUGGAAGAAACUGACUCCAGGUUUGGCAGAGGGUGAGAAACCUACUCCCAGCCAUGUUGUCUGGUGACACAGUGACCUUAGGGACAAGUGAAUAGGGAAGGCCAGUGAUUCAUUAACCUGAGGUUGCAGUCCUGGUUGGGGAAAGCAUCAGAAUGGCAGAUAAGCUAGAAAUUUAGUAGGGAUAUGCUGGAAAUGAGACAACCCCAAAGGGGCUUGACCCCAAAGUUGUCCACACACCCCAGCUGCCUUCUGAGCAGAUGUAGGGAGAGACCAGAGAAGGCCUAGGCUAUCCACACAUCUCUGGCUAACCCAGGCUGUAAACCUGUGGAGGAGACACAAGAGGUGGAUUGAUUGCUAAUGGGCAUAUGGGGGAUCUUACUGGUUGAUAGGAACAUUCUCAAAUUGGAUUGUGGUGAUGCUUGCACAACUCUAAGUUUAUCCCAAAUUGCUAAAUUUUACACUAAAAAGGGGUGAACUUUAGGGUAUAUAAAUUAUACAUCAAUAAAGUUGUCAUAAAGCAUUCACAUUCUAAUAAAUGGCUCUAAGAAAUAUUGUUUUGAAAAUUUUCCUUUGGUAUAUUAUGGCACUCCAAAAUCAACUUCUGUCAGAACAAUAAUUAACUAUUUCUGAUUAUAGAUAUUGGUCAUCUACAAUGAUUUAUUCAGUCUUUUAUGUCCCGCAUAAGGGCUUAGAAUGCUUUAAAUUUCUAAGACCAUCAAUAGCCAGGACUCACCUGAAAACUAUAUAUAUUUUUAAAAAGACGUAUGCUCUGGGACACCAUAUGCUAACAUUUGUUGAGCACACAGUUUGCUACAGAGGUUAAGAGGUGUACUAUUUAAAUCUAACUUCCUCAAGGGGCUCACACUAUUACAAUAGUAAGCUAAAGAGAUAGAAGAAAAGUUUAUAUAUAAAAUCUCAGUACAGGGAUGGGGUUGGUAACAAAUAAGAUGCUGCCACUUACACUUGAUAAAUUAUAAAAUAUCUAUUGCAUUCAUUAUUGGAGGCUGACCCUUAUAAAAACCUUGUGGGUACUGCAAAAGACAGGGAAACCGAGGCUCAGAGUGGUUCAGCAACUUGUGUGAGGUCACAUACCUCAUGUCAAAGCUGAGAUUUAAAUGUGUGUGGCUAGGCUGGACAUGGUGGCUCACACCUGUAAUCCUAGCACCCUGGGAGGCUGAGGUGGAACACACUCCUUGUUUGUGUCCAGGAGUUCAAGACCAGCCUGGACAACAUAAUGAGACCUCAUCUCUACAAAAAAUAAAAAAUUAGCUGGGUGUGGGGCCACGCACCCCAAGGUUCUCAGGAGGCUGAGGCAGGAGGACUGCUUGAAAUCAGGAGGUUGAGCCUGCAGUGAGCUGUGAUCAUGCCACUGCACUCUGCCUGGGUGACAGAGUGAGACCCUGUCUCAAAAAAAUAAAAAUAAAAACAAAUAAAUGUGUGUGGCUGAUUCUCAUGCAAAUAUUGGUGAAGAUCUGGUAGUGAUGUAAAUUGGUAGAACCUCAGUGGGAGAUAACUUUGCAAUAGCUAUCAAAUGAAAACUGUGUAUAUUCUUUGUUUCAGGAAUUUCACUUCUAAGAUGUUUUUAAUAUAGCAGAAAUGGUUAUCCAUAAAGAAUUAGUUCAAUACAUUUUAUCUGUAAAAUGGAAUGCAAUGCGGCCAUUAAAAAGGAGGCAUAUCUGAGUAUACUAAUAUAGAAUGGUCUGCAAGAUAUAUUAACUUUUUUACAAAAGCUGUUCCCCACACUUCUUCGUGUUGUUUGAAAAGACGUGAAGGCUCAGACAGGCCUUCAUUGUGACUUGCCCAGGAUGAGUAGCAGGGCUGGAAUUCCUACUCAGGAGUCCAGAUUUAUAGGCUUCCUCUUUGCUUUAUCCUAUUUCAUAGCUGUCUCUGUUGCCAGAGCCAUGGAAGG
rnacentral:lncRNA from 10 species